GCCUACUAGUAGACUCAGAAGGCCGUGAUCAUCCAUCCAAAUGGUUGAUCACCCACAAAUAUACAAGAGAAGACUCCAGAUCCAAUCCCAGAAUUCCUGCUCACCGGUAAUCGGAAGUCUACUGGACGAAUGCGGGAACGUUGCGAUAUUUCCUGCUUAAUAUUUUCAGGCACAAUGAAUGAUAUUAAGGGCAGGUGCGCCACAUUGGGGGAAGAUGCAAAGCAGAAAUACAUUCAAGAGGCAGCAGCACUGAGGGCACAUGGGCAGUCACAGGACACUAAACCCUGAGAUGGAGGCAAUUUGUGCUGUGUCUGCCGCAUCCAUUUUUAUGAUAAGAAGAAGAAUGCAAGAAAGAAGUGGCAUUCAUGGUCUCAGUGCACAGUGUGCCAAUCAUGGUAACACACAGCAUGUGGCUUUAAAAAGAACAUGUGCGUUCACUGCCAGGGUCAAGACACCAUGCUAACACCCUGAAGAGGUAUCUUGUUACUUGUUUGAGUUGUUUUUACUGUGUUGACGGCCCCCAACCCAUCCAUACAAACACACAUACACAAUACAUACAUAUGCUGCAAAUUUAUUGUAAUGACCACACUUCAGACGUAAGAAGAAAAUUGUGAUCUUUUUGUUAUCUUCAUUCACCCCAUUUUUAUUUACUAUUGUUGUUUGUUGGCACCAUCAAUGUGUUCUCCUUUAUACAGGACUUAUGUGGGGAACAAUAAAGUUAUAUUGUACUGAA